rnacentral:rRNA from 1 species
CCGCGUGAGUGAUGAAGGUUUUCGGAUCGUAAAGCUCUGUUGUUAGGGAAGAACAAGUGCGAGAGUAACUGCUCGCACCUUGACGGUACCUAACCAGAAAGCCACGGCUAACUACGUGCCAGCAGCCGCGGUAAUACGUAGGUGGCAAGCGUUGUCCGGAAUUAUUGGGCGUAAAGGGCUCGCAGGCGGUUUCUUAAGUCUGAUGUGAAAGCCCCCGGCUCAACCGGGGAGGGUCAUUGGAAACUGGGAAACUUGAGUGCAGAAGAGGAGAGUGGAAUUCCACGUGUAGCGGUGAAAUGCGUAGAGAUGUGGAGGAACACCAGUGGCGAAGGCGACUCUCUGGUCUGUAACUGACGCUGAGGAGCGAAAGCGUGGGGAGCGAACAGGAUUAGAUACCCUGGUAGUCCACGCCGUAAACGAUGAGUGCUAAGUGUUAGGGGGUUUCCGCCCCUUAGUGCUGCAGCUAACGCAUUAAGCACUCCGCCUGGGGAGUACGGUCGCAAGACUGAAACUCAAAGGAAUUGACGGGGGCCCGCACAAGCGGUGGAGCAUGUGGUUUAAUUCGAAGCAACGCGAAGAACCUUACCAGGUCUUGACAUCCUCUGACAACCCUAGA